UUUCUGGGAAGGAUAUUAUAAGGUACUAUAAAAACAGUCACUGACCAUUCAGGCUGUACAAAAACACAGAACAAGUGGCAAACUCUCAGAGGUACCAGUGGCCCUACCUUAAAAUGGUUAACUAAGAAACCUAUAUGAGUUAAACAAUGGUCUUUAACAAUAGAGAAACUGCAGGCUUUAGAACAGCUGGUACAGGAACAACUAGAUGAUCACCAUAUUGAAGAAUCAUCCAGUCCUUGGAAUUCUCCUGUAUUUGUUGUUAAAAAGAAAUCUGGAAGAUGGAGAAUGGUGACAGAUCUAAGAGCUGUUAAUAAGGUUAUCCAGCCUAUGAGCCCUCUAUAAUCUGGUAUUCCUUUGCCUUCCCUAUUGCCUAAAGGAUGGCCUCUUAUAGUUAUUGAUUUAAAAGAUUGUUUCUUUACUAUACUGUUACAAGAAAAAGACAAGGAAUAAUUUGCCUUCUCAGUGCCUACUCAUAAUAAUUCUCAGCCAACUAAAAGAAAGGUUACAUAGCCACACCCUCUGCCAAUAUUUUGUAAGUAGCCAUUGGAAAUAAUGCAUAUGCAAUUUUCUGAAUUUAUAGUUUAUCAUUACUUGGAUGAUAUUUUGUUAUCUGAUUCAAAUGUAGAUCCUUUAGAAAGAAUAUUUGAAGACAUGAAGAAAGUUUUACCUAGUUGGGGAUUACAAAUUGCUCCUGAAAAAAUAUAGAGAGGAGAUAUUGUCAAUUAUCUAGGUUAUAAAAUAGUUUUACAGAAAAUUAGAACACAGAAAGUGCAAAUUAGGAGAGAGUGAUUGCAGAUUUUUAAUGACUUCCAAAGAUUGCUAGGAGACAAUUCCAAUCUAUAGCCCACUUCUGGGAUAAGACCUGACCAAAUAAUUCAUUAAAAAAAAACUUAGAUGGUGACCAAGACUUAAAUAGUCUCAGGGAAUUAUCAGCUGAAGCUGAGAAAGAAUUGACUUUGAUUAAAAAGAAAUUAUAGGAGGCACAUGUGGUUCUUGUGGAUCUGAAUCUAAAAUUAAAACCUUAUCUGGAAAAGGUCUCUGAAUUAAUUAUAAAAGGACAAUUGAGAAAAAAAGCUUUGGAUACCAUCAAAAUUAAUAAAGAUUUGGUUUGAGAAGGAGAAAUCUCUUAAUAAAGAGUAAUGACAGCUCAUUCACAGAGAUGACAAUGUUACAGGUUGUAAGAAAACCUUAUAAGGGUUGGGGGCAGGAUUCUGUUCUUGUCUUUGCAGGAAAAUACCAAUCUUCAAAACUCAAGGGACCUUGGACAGCUAGACGGCUUAAAGAAGAAAAGAUAAAUAUCCAGAAAGAAUCACCAAGCAAAGAGAAAUCUGACUCAUGAUACCAAUAACUUCUAAUCUAUUUCAGAGAAUGAUGGGAACUGAAGACACUCUACUUGGAACUGUUUUCAUCUUGGCAAAACUGGACUUUGGACAAAAAACUGCCUCUGCCUUGACUACAGAUAAAAUGCACAGUGUCCAGACUGGACAAGCAGGAUGACCCAGACACGGAGCACCUCUCAGGACCGUCUCUGAAGAGAGUGAAGGCCAAAGCUCAGCACGUGUCUCAUGGUGAGAAGAAUAAACUGGCUGCCCUCAGAUCAUUAACAGUUCUCUCAGGGCUGGAGAGAUGGCUCAGUGGUUAAGAGUACAUGCUGUUCCUGAACAGAGAAUUCUCAACAGAAGAAUUUCAAAUGGCCAGAAGAUACUUAAGGACAUGUUCAACUUCCUUAGCUAUCAGGGAAAUGCAAAUCAAAACAACUUUGAGAUACCAUCUUAUACCUGUCAGAAUGGUUAAAAUAAAAAAAAAAACCCACCAAUGAUAGCUUAUGCUGGAGAGGAUGUGGAGUAAGGGGAAUACUCAUCCAUUGCUGGUGGGAAUGCAAACUUGUGCAACCACUUUGGAAAUCAGUGUGGCGGUUUCUCAGGAAACUGGGAGUCAACCUACCUCAGGAUCCAGCAAUACCACUCUUGGGAAUAUACCCAAAAGAUGCCCAAUCAAACCACAAUAGAAUUUGUUCAACUAUCUUCAUAGCAGCAUUAUUUGUAAUAGUCAGAACCUGGAAACAA